UUGCACGAUCUCUCCCGGGCGUCUCUGAAUCAAUUUCAAUGACGAUGAACGCCCCAAAGCUCGUGCUAGAAUGCUCGCCGUUCCAGUGUUGCAGUUUAGCCUUUGUACCUUUCUCUUCCGUGGCUCAAUUUGUGUCAUUUUGGCGGCUACAUCC